GACGAACGCUGGCGGCAUGCUUAACACAUGCAAGUCGAGCGCCCCGCAAGGGGAGCGGCAGCCGGGUUAUUAACGCGUGGGGACUUACCCUUAUCUUCGGGAUAUCUCCGGGACACUGGAAUUACUACCGAAUGUGCCCGUUGGUGGAAAGAUUUAUCUGAUAAGGAUCGGUCCGAGUUGGAUUAGCUAGUUGGUUGGGUAAAGUCAUACCAAGGCGACUAUCCAUAGCUGUUCUGAGAGUAUGAUCAGACACAUUGGGAGUGAGACACGGACCAAAAUCCUACGGGAGGGAGCAGAGGGGGAUAGUGGAAAAUGGGGGCAAGGAUGAACGAGCCAGGACGCGUGAGUGAUGAAGGUAUUAGAGAUGUAAAGUGCUAGCAACGGAGAAGAUAAUGACGGUAUCCGGAGAAGAAGCCACGGCUAACUUCGUG
rnacentral:rRNA from 1 species